rnacentral:rRNA from 1 species
UACGUAGGGGGCAAGCGUUGUCCGGAAUCAUUGGGCGUAAAGGGCGUGUAGGCGGCUCGGUAAGUCCGCUGUGAAAGUCCAGGGCUCAACCCUGGAAUGCCGGUGGAAACUGUCGAGCUAGAAUCCGGAAGAGGCGAGUGGAAUUCCGGGUGUAGCGGUGGAAUGCGUAGAGAUCCGGAGGAAGACCGGUGGCGAAGGCGGCCUGCUGGGCAGUUUCUGACACUGAUGCGCGACAGCGUGGGGAGCAAACAGG